AGAGAGAGAGAGAGGGAGAAGAUAUGAAGGUUUGAACUUUGAAGAGUGAGUUUCUCUUCAGUUUUCAGAGGCUUGAGGAUUAUUUAACAUUGAUUUGAUUAUUUUGGUGGUUUCAGAACAAUCUUGAAAUAGAAAAAUCUUGAACGUCUUUAAUGAGUGAUAUGGGGGAUGCAAACAAGAAGAGUUCUUGUUCAGGGGAUAGCAGCAAAAGCAAGAAGAAAUUGCGGAGGGGACGCAAUGGCUGUGAAUCGCUGGCGGAUAAACUUGAUAACUGGAAGAAGCGAAAUAAAUUUGUUGAAAUUCGCAAGCCUCCAUCCAAGGGCUCCCGAAAAGGUUGUAUGCAAGGAAAAGGUGGGCCAGAGAACCAGACUUGUUCAUAUAGAGGUGUUAGACAAAGAAUCUGGGGCAAAUGGGUUGCAGAAAUUCGAGAACCUGCUGGAAAGACUAGCUUUUUGAAUGCUGCACCAGGGCAUAGACAUUGGUUGGGUACAUUUUCAACUGCCAUUGAAGCAGCUAGAGCUUAUGACUAUGCGGCAAAGGCUAUGUAUGGUUCUAAUGCUAUCCUCAAUUUCCCUGGCUACUCUUUGGAAACUGAGUCUAGAGCAACAUUGAAUGGCUGUGAUGAUUUCCCUGUUGAGAAAUCAAAAACCCAUUGCUUGGGAGUUGAUGGAUUUAAAGAACGAAAUGAAAAAUUAGGUUCUUGUGGGAUUUUUGUUGUUGACGAAUCAAAUGAGAAACUUGAUAAAUCACAAGUGGCAGAGAGCGAUUCAAUAGAGUUGAAAGAUGAGGAAUGUAUUUCAAGAACUGAUUGCAGAUCUUUUAAAGAUGUUAAAGCUAAACCAAUGAUGCCGGUGAAAGAAAUGAAAGCAGAGUUUGCACAAGUUAUGGAAUACCCUGGACAUUACAGCAUCAAUCAUAAAUUUGACUUCUUGCAGAGUAAGUCCAAAAAUGUGAAAGCUGAAUUAAGCACUGAUCAUGAGUUUUCCAAUGAAAUCGAUGUCCUUACGCCCACAAUUGAAGAAAUAGAAGAAGAGCUUGGGAGAAGUAUGGAAUCAAAUCAAUAUGAUGGGUUCAAUAGUAUGCAUAUGCCCUUAAAUGAUGUUGAGAAGCUGAUGAUGAGGAAAGUAAUGGAGAGAGAAUUUCCAGGAAUGGAGUCCGGUUACUGUAAUCGCUUUGAGGUUAGACAUGACAAUAUGAGCAAUGAUUUUAUAGAUAUGAACUGCUAUACAGGAAUUGAUCUUAAGCUGUCUAAGCACAUGGAUGGCACUGAGAACUCUGCACUGAAAGGAGAGAAGAAUUUGGACCAUGAUCACUUUGAAUUAGGCUCUACGAAUUGCCAGCAGAGCAAUUGGCCAUCUAAUCUUUCUUCUCAGUUGCAGAACCCAAGAACCAAUCUACAAGAAAGCUCCAAUCAUACAGAAGAAGCAAACAGACACUUGGAUUGCAAUUUCAACUUGUUGGAGCCUGACUUUAACUGGGGUUCAAUGGAAGAGCCGGGAUUGAUUGAACUAUGGGAUUUUGGAUUGUAGUAAUUCUAGAGGCUUGACAUUGGUUUUCAUUUUGUUGAGGAGUGAGGAACAUGAUCAGAAGCAGAAGAAAUAUUAGUCAUAUCUAACUGCUAGCCAUACUAUCAUCUUUUCUCCAAAGUAAUUUUGCUCAUAUCUCUGCUUAAUUAGUCAAUGUCAUAUUAUUUGUGGAUUCUUCGUUAGUCUUUGAGAAACAACUUCUUGUUUUGUUCAUUGUGCACUUCUUAUUAUAAGUCACAUGAUUAUACACACAUGCAUUAAAU
rnacentral:misc_RNA from 1 species